GAUCUCUGGUUGGCUGGCUAUGGUAAGAUUCCAUGACUCCUUCUUAUGGAAGCCACAAGAGAAGCUGAUGUCUCAAGCUUCCACUCACCAGGCAUUGUCAUCCUCUAACUGUAACUUGGAACUGCUGCUGCUAAUCGAGGCCUUUUCCUCCAUGGCCACCCGCCACGCACUGGCUGCAGAUCACUUCCUGUUUCCCCUGGACCACAAGCCCCUGCCUUUGAGGCUGCCAACUCCGCACAGGUCUCAGCAGAGAAGGGUGAAUCGGGCAGGUUUCCCAUUAAAGUCUCUUCACUUUAUUCUCUGUAUUUCCACUCCAAGCCCUAUGGGGAACCAGACUUUCUGGAACCCCUGGGGUUAACCAACAGGAAUUACGAUGUGGGAGGGAAAGAUUCAAACAUAAUGCUGAAUAAGACUCUGCUUGGCGUCUAAAGGAAAAGCACCUCAAAAUCAACCUUUCCCAGGGAUCCCACUUGAGGUUGCAUCCAGUUCUUUUUUUUUUUUUUUUUUUUUUUUUUUAGCUAUUUCUUGGGCCGCUCCCGCGGCAUAUGGAGGUUCCCAGGCUAGGGGUCUAAUCGGAGCUCUAGCCACCAGCCUACGCCAGAGCCACAGCAACGCAGGAUCUGAGCCGCGUCUGCGACCUACACCACAGCUCAUGGCAACGCCGGAUCGUUAACCCACUGAGCCAGGGCAGGGACCGAACCAGCAACCUCAUGGUUCCUAGUCGGAUUCAUUAACCACUGCGCCACGACGGGAACUCCUGCAUCCAGUUCUUAUUCUAGAUCCCCUGUCCUCGGACAAACCUUCUUUUUAGAGGACCCCUCCUUUGCACAAUCACAGUGAAAUUGUCACCUUACCCACCUUUAGGGAUCGGGUCACCAACAUACAAAUCGAUCUCUUCUGGUCAUGAGGACAGUCCUAGGACUUGAGUAACAUCCAACAGAGCUCGUCUCAAAAUCUGGCUUAUUCGACCUCGCAUCACACAGCACAGGAGGGAAGUGGGUUUCGGCAGGACAGCCCCACGUGAGUCUGGUCUGGUGAAUGUCUCUUCUUUCCUCCUCAUCACCCAGGCAGCAAUGAAUAGACGUCACUCACAAUACACAGUGCGUGCGUGCGCGCACACACGCAAUACACAACAUACACAUUUUCCAAGGACCAAUGGCAUGAUCUCUCUGUAUUAAGCCAGAGAAAUUAUUUUCUAAAUGGACACAGAAUCCUGCCCUCAGUGAGUCUUAAGUUUCAUCAUUAUGCAGAGCUGUGUCCACUCGGAUUUGGUCAUCCUCCAGCUGCUACAUCCUGCCCAGAGGCCUAUUGGAGCAUAAGAAAUGGGUGUACUUUCCCUGCCCUUUAAGCACAGCGCC
ensembl:lncRNA